rnacentral:lncRNA from 1 species
UCGGCCAAUGGGAAGCGCGGGAUUCGCGAGGGGGAAGCGCGUCCCCGAGCGGCGGCGGGAGCGACGGGAGCAAGGGAGCGGAGAGAGGGAGAGAGCGCGGCCCGAGCAGCCCCGAACCCCGAGCGAGUGAGGGAGUGAGGUCCCCCGGCCCCGGCGAGCCAUGUCCGAGGAGAAGCCCAAGGAAGGAGUGAAAACCGAGAAUGAUCACAUCAACCUGAAGGUAGCCGGGCAGGAUGGGUCAGUGGUCCAGUUCAAAAUUAAGCGGCACACACCUCUGAACAAAUUAAUGAAGGCAUAUUGUGAGAGACAGGGCUUGUCGAUGAGACAGAUUCGCUUUAGAUUUGAUGGUCAACCAAUUAAUGAGACGGAUACCCCUGCACAGCUGGAGAUGGAGGAUGAAGACACGAUCGAUGUGUUCCAGCAGCAGACGGGGGGAGCGUGUUAGGCGCGUGGGCUGGAGCCCCCCGGGUCUUCCUCUGUCUUGGGAUAGGGAAUUGUGGGAUGCUUCCGCCCUCGCAGAGGACGCGGAUCCAAACUCUUCUCUCUCUGACUCACCGUACGUAGUCUGUGCGACUCCCGACGAUCCUCGCGGAGACGACGCAACACCUCGAAUUGGGCCAAUGUGGAAUGUUCUCUUUGCUGAAGUAAAAGAUUCUUGCCUGUUUGUCCUCACUUUCCUUCCUUCUCUCCCCCCCUUUGCUUUGGGGGCCGAACUGCCGGCCCCCCGCGCUUGGGAUGCUUUCUUGGCUACAUCGUCUAAUCAUGUAAAUACUCCGUCUGGUCACGGUGGUGGGGGGAGGGGGACGCCUGUGCGCUGUCAUCAGCUGAAUCAGGAUCAUUGGCGCUGAUCAACCUGCCAGGCUCCUCGGAGGAGGCCGGAGCGGGGCGGGGAGGGGCCACCUCCAGGGUUACAAAAGCUCCGGCAGGUGAGGGUCAGGGGCAGGAGAUGGGCCCGGUGCCCCUGCCCGCGUCCUGCCGAGCGACCCCUUGGGGGCUGUCCCCCGCCCCGGCGGCCCCUUGCAACCUUUUCCCAUCUCGAGGCUCCUCCGCUUGCGUGAACCUGCCUGCUGACGGUGGCUUUUCCUUUGGCGUUUCCGUGUCUGUGGGCUCGGGCCUGUCUCUUCUCUGAUUUGUACGUCCUUUGUUGUCCUUUACUACUGUAAACAGUAAAUAUAGUUUGGUACUCUGGCUCUUGGCUUGUG